rnacentral:rRNA from 1 species
AGCUAAUACUUGCUUUAGCACUCUUGAUUAAGUUCUUGAGUGUGUACUUGUUAAGCCUUUUAAGAAAAAAGUUAUUAACUUAAGGAAUUAUAACAAAGAAGCAACACGUAAAUGGAUUUUCCAUUUUUUAGUGUGUAUCAAUCGAGUUUCUGACCUAUCAGCUUUUGAUGUUAGGGUAUUGGCCUAACAUGGCUAUGACGGGUAACGGGGAAUUAGAGUUCGAUUCCGGAGAGGGAGCCUGAGAAAUAGCUACCACAUCUAAGGAAGGCAGCAGGCGCGUAAAUUACCCAAUUCUAAAGAAGAGAGGUAGUGACAAGAAAUAACAAUACAAGGCCAAUCUGGCUUUGUAAUUGGAAUGAUGGGAAUUUAAAACCUUCCCAAAACUCAAUUGGAGGGCAAGUCUGGUGCCAGCAGCCGCGGUAAUUCCAGCUCCAAUAGCGUAUAUUAAAAUUGUUGCAGUUAAAACGCUCGUAGUUGAAUUUCAAAGAAUCGAUAUUUUAAGUAGCACUUUGUAGAUUAAUCCACAUAACUGAUACUACGUAUCGACUUUGUGCGCAUUUUUCUACUUAUGUGUUCUUUUAAUUAAAAUGAUUCUUUUUAAGAUCUUUCUUUUUUGCUUCGGCAUUUUAGGAGAUCUUGUUACUUUGAGUAAAUUAGAGUGUUCAAAGCAAACAGAUUAUAGCAUCUUUAUGCGUUUGAAUACUACAGCAUGGAAUAACAAAAUUGAACAAGUCAGAAUUUUGUUCUUUUUUCUUAUUUUGGCUUAGUUACGAUUAAUAGGAGUAGCUUGGGGGCAUUUGUAUUCAGAUGUCAGAGGUGAAAUUCUUAGAUUUUCUGGAGACAAACAACUGCGAAAGCAUUUGCCUAAAAUACUUCCAUUAAUCAAGAACGAAAGUUAAGGGAGUGAAGACGAUCAGAUACCGUCGUAAUCUUAACCAUAAACUAUGCCGACUAGGCUUUGGAUGAAAGAUUUUAAAAUAAGAGUUUUUUCUCUGAGGAGUUAAAACUCUUAGAUUGCUUCCUUCAGUGCCUUAUGAGAAAUCAAAGUCUUUGGGUUCUGGGGCGAGUAUUCGCGCAAGCGAGAAAGUUAAAAGAAUUGACGGAAGGGCACCACCAGGCGUGGAGCUUGCGGCUUAAUUUGACUCAACACGGGAAAACUCACUAGUUUAAGACAAGAGUAGGAUUGACAGAUUAAUAGCUCUUUCUUGAUUUCUUGGAUGGUGAUGCAUGGCCGUUUUUAGUUCGUGAAUAUGAUUUGUCUGGUUAAUUCCGAUAACGAACGAGAUCUUAACCUGCUAAUUAGCGGCAAAUACGAUAUAUUCUUAUGUGCAAUUGAAUAUAGUUGAUUUGCUUAUUUUGAAGAAAAUAUUGGGAUACGUAAAUGUAUCCCUUUCCCUUUUCUACUUAAUUUGCUUAUCAUACUAUUUCUUUUUUGCGUAAGAAUGUAUUUGCUUGAUUGUAAAGCUUCUUAGAGGAACGAUGUGUGUCUAACACAAG